UCAAGCGAAUAAGCGCACACGGUGGAUGCCUAGGCGGUCAGAGGCGAUGAAGGACGUGGUAGCCUGCGAAAAGUGUCGGGGAGCUGGCAACAAGCUUUGAUCCGGCAAUAUCCGAAUGGGGAAACCCACUGCUUCGGCAGUAUCCUGCAGUGAAUUCAUAGCUGCUGGAAGCGAACCCGGUGAACUGAAAUAUCUAAGUAACCGGAGGAAAAGAAAUCAACCGAGAUUCCCUAAGUAGUGACGAGCGAACGGGGAGCAGCCCUUAAGCUGGAAUGGCUUUAGAAAAACAAUCUGGAAAGAUUGGCCAUAGAAGGUGAUAGCCCUGUAUUUAAAAGGGCCACUCCAGUGAAGACGAGUAGGGCGGGGCACGUGAAACCCUGUCUGAAUAUGGGGGGACCAUCCUCCAAGGCUAAAUACUCCUGACCGACCGAUAGUGAACCAGUACCGUGAGGGAAAGGCGAAAAGAACCCCGGAGAGGGGAGUGAAAUAGAUCCUGAAACCGUGUGCGUACAAGCAGUAGGAGCUCGCAAGAGUGACUGCGUACCUUUUGUAUAAUGGGUCAGCGACUUACUGUUCGUGGCAAGCUUAACCGUAUAGGGGAGGCGAAGGGAAACCGAGUCUGAUAAGGGCGCAUAGUCGCGGGCAGUAGACCCGAAACCGGGUGAUCUAGUCAUGGCCAGGGUGAAGGUGCCGUAACAGGUACUGGAGGCCCGAACCCACGUCUGUUGCAAAAGACGGGGAUGAGCUGUGAUUAGGAGUGAAAAGCUAAUCGAACCCGGAGAUAGCUGGUUCUCCUCGAAAGCUAUUUAGGUAGCGCCUCGGACGAAUACUACUGGGGGUAGAGCACUGUUAUGGCUAGGGGGUCAUCGCGACUUACCAAACCAUUGCAAACUCCGAAUACCAGUACGUACUAUCCGGGAGACACACGGCGGGUGCUAACGUCCGUCGUGAAAAGGGAAACAACCCAGACCCACAGCUAAGGUCCCAAAUUCACUGCUAAGUGGAAAACGAUGUGGAAAGGCAUAGACAGCCAGGAGGUUGGCUUAGAAGCAGCCACCCUUUAAAGAAAGCGUAAUAGCUCACUGGUCGAGUCGGUCUGCGCGGAAGAUUUAACGGGGCUAAGCAGUGAACCGAAGCUUGGGGUGCAUAAAACGUGUUUUAUGCGCGGUAGAGGAGCGUUCCGUAAGCCUGCGAAGGUGGAUUGAGAAGUCUGCUGGAGGUAUCGGAAGUGCGAAUGCUGACAUGAGUAACGAUAAUGCGGGUGAAAAGCCCGCACGCCGAAAGCCCAAGGUUUCCUUGCGCAACGUUAAUCGACGCAGGGUUAGUCGGUCCCUAAGGCGAGGGCGAAAGCCGUAGUCGAUGGGAAGCAGGUUAAUAUUCCUGCACCUCGCGUGAGUGCGAUGGAGGGACGGAGAAGGUUAGGUGUACCGGGCGUUGGUUGUCCCGGGGAAAGGCGGUAGGUUUGGAUCUUUGGCAAAUCCGGGAUCCUUUAAGACCGAGCACCGAGACGAGCCUUUAUGGCGAAGUCACUGAUACCACGCUUCCAGGAAAAGCUCCUAAGCUUCAGCUCACGAAGACCGUACCGUAAACCGACACAGGUGGGUAGGAUGAGAAUUCUCAGGCGCUUGAGAGAACUCGGGUGAAGGAACUAGGCAACAUGGCACCGUAACUUCGGGAGAAGGUGCACCCUUUUUGGUGGCUCAUGCGAGCUAUAGCUGAAGAGGGUCGCAGAAACCAGGCCGCUGCGACUGUUUAUCAAAAACACAGCACUCUGCAAACACGAAAGUGGACGUAUAGGGUGUGACGCCUGCCCGGUGCUGGAAGGUUAAUUGAUGGGGUCAGCCGCAAGGCGAAGCUCUUGAUCGAAGCCCCAGUAAACGGCGGCCGUAACUAUAACGGUCCUAAGGUAGCGAAAUUCCUUGUCGGGUAAGUUCCGACCUGCACGAAUGGCGUAACGACAGCGGCGCUGUCUCCACCCGAGACUCAGUGAAAUUGAAAUCGCUGUGAAGAUGCAGCGUUCCCGUGGCAAGACGGAAAGACCCCGUGAACCUUUACUAUAGCUUUACACUGAACGUUGAGUUCGUCUGUGUAGGAUAGGUGGGAGGCUAUGAAACUGUGGCGCUAGCUGCAGUGGAGCCAUCCUUGAAAUACCACCCUGUCGUGCUUGACGUUCUAACCUAGGUCCGUUAUCCGGAUCAGGGACCGUGUAUGGUGGGUAGUUUGACUGGGGCGGUCUCCUCCUAAAGAGUAACGGAGGAGCACGAAGGUACGCUCAGCGCGGUCGGACAUCGCGCACUGUGUGCAAAGGCAUAAGCGUGCUUGACUGCAAGAUCGACGGAUCAAGCAGGUACGAAAGUAGGUCUUAGUGAUCCGGUGGUUCUGUAUGGAAGGGCCAUCGCUCAACGGAUAAAAGGUACUCCGGGGAUAACAGGCUGAUACCGCCCAAGAGUUCAUAUCGACGGCGGUGUUUGGCACCUCGAUGUCGGCUCAUCACAUCCUGGGGCUGUAGUCGGUCCCAAGGGUAUGGCUGUUCGCCAUUUAAAGUGGUACGCGAGCUGGGUUCAGAACGUCGUGAGACAGUUCGGUCCCUAUCUGCCAUGGGCGUUGGAAGUUUGAGAGGGGCUGCUCCUAGUACGAGAGGACCGGAGUGGACGAACCUCUGGUGUUCCGGUUGUCACGCCAGUGGCAUUGCCGGGUAGCUAUGUUCGGAAGCGAUAACCGCUGAAAGCAUCUAAGCGGGAAGCGCGCCUCAAGAUGAGACUUCCCGGGGCACAAGCCCCCUAAAGGAACCAUGUAGACUACGUGGUUGAUAGGUCAGGUGUGUAAGUACAGCAAUGUAUUGAGCUAACUGAUACUAAUGAUCCGUGCGGCUUGACCAU
rnacentral:rRNA from 1 species